UCAGAACAAAUGCCGGUUCCCAGA
rnacentral:miRNA from 1 species